rnacentral:lncRNA from 1 species
UGCUACUUAUCCAUACCCCUUGUUUGCAAAAAAAACAGGGUUUAUCUCUUUCCUUUGCAGAUCUCAACUGAGAGUCUCCCAUUGUCAGAUUUUGACCUAGGAUCAUCUCAGAAAGGGAUUCUUCUAUGAUUCAGAGAAGUCCCCAGGUAUGAAGAGUCACAGCUCCAGCUUCCUUCUGCUCCCCGGUGUGCAAGACUCUCAUCCCUGGGAAACAUUUAUGAAACAGUCUGAAAACUGCUAGAGUGCAGAACUAUCCCAUGGCAAUGGUAUUCCCUGGAUCUGCCACUGAAACAUUCCUUGUUCUCUAGAUUUUCCAGGUUUCAUCAAUGCACCUACAUAUUUAAGAUAAAAUCACAGCUGAUAGCUUGGAAGCUGCACUCCUCUCUCUUUCCCUUCUACCCCACAUCUGGAGAAGCUGAUGAGAAAGCCUGAGUGCUUCCUGGUCCCUGCAUGAAGUUCAAACCCCACAGGCCCUGAAUAAGAGCUGGAAUAAUCUCCUCAGUCUAUCCUAAGACACUAGAGGCCUAGAGAGUCAUCAAGUCUCUAAUUUCAAAAUC